UACGGAGGAUGCGAGCGUUAUCCGGAUUUAUUGGGUUUAAAGGGUGCGUAGGCGGGCUUUUAAGUCAGCGGUAAAAAUUCGGGGCUCAACCCCGUCCGGCCGUUGAAACUGGGGGCCUUGAGUGGGCGAGAAGAAGGCGGAAUGCGUGGUGUAGCGGUGAAAUGCAUAGAUAUCACGCAGAACCCCGAUUGCGAAGGUAGCCUUCCGGCGCCCUACUGACGCUGAGGCACGAAAGUGCGGGGAUCGAACAGG
rnacentral:rRNA from 1 species